rnacentral:ncRNA from 2 species
AUGCGAAGCUAGGGGUGCUCUGCCUGCCGGCAGGGCUGAGAGAGACCCUCGGAACCUGAUCCGGGUAAUACCGGCGCAGGGAAGCUCGUUCUCCCGAAU